UAUUUAAGAGCUAAAUGUUGUAAGUAAGUAGAAAUUAUGAAAGCAAAAAAUUAUGGCGGUAUUUUAAGCUUUUCAGAGGAAUUUGCUCUUUGAUGGAUAAAACACCUAAAUCUUACUUAAAUUUGUUAAUUCAAUUUGUAUACCACUAUAAAAACAAUUUAUAACUUUAAUUGUUUAAAUUUAUUAAAUUAAAAUAUAUUAAGUCAAGGUGCAGUAAAAAUUUAAGGAUGAAGUGAAUUACAUUACUCUUUAGAGAAACAAAUUUAAAAUAAUACUUAGGAU
rnacentral:rRNA from 1 species